rnacentral:rRNA from 1 species
AACGAACGCUGGCGGCAUGCCUAACACAUGCAAGUCGAACGAGACCUUCGGGUCUAGUGGCGCAAGGGUGCGUAACGCGUGGGAACCUGCCCUUAGGUUCGGAAUAACUCCCCGAAAGGGGUGCUAAUACCGGAUAAUGUCUUCGGACCAAAGAUUUAUCGCCUUUGGAUGGGCCCGCGUUGGAUUAGCUAGUUGGUAGGGUAAAAGCCUACCAAGGCGACGAUCCAUAGCUGGUCUGAGAGGAUGAUCAGCCACACUGGGACUGAGACACGGCCCAGACUCCUACGGGAGGCAGCAGUGGGGAAUAUUGGACAAGGGGCGAAAGCCUGAUCCAGCAAUGCCGCGUGAGUGAUGGAGGCCUUAGGGUUGUAAAGCUCUUUUACCCGGGAUGAUAAUGACAGUACCGGGAGAAUAAGCUCCGGCUAACUCCGU